CCUACGGGAGGCAGCAGGGGGGAAUAUUGCACAAUGGGGGAAACCCUGAUGCAGCGACGCCGCGUGAGUGAAGAAGUAUUUCGGUAUGUAAAGCUCUAUCAGCAGGGAAGAAAGAGCGACCUUUGGGUCGCCAGACGGUACCUGAUUAAGAAGCCCCGACUAACUACGUGCCAGCAGCCGCGGUAAUACGUAGGGGGCAAGCGUUAUCCGGAUUUACUGGGUGGAAAGGGAGCGUAGACGGCAGCGCAAGUCUGAAGUGAAAUGCCGGGGCUUAACCCCGGAACUGCUUUGGAAACUGUGCAGCUAGAGUGCAGGAGAGGUAAGUGGAAUUCCUAGUGUAGCGGUGAAAUGCGUAGAUAUUAGGAGGAACCCCAGUGGCGAAGGCGGCUUACUGGACUGUAACUGACGUUGAGGCUCGAAAGCGUGGGGAGCAAACAGGAUUAGAUACCCUGGUAGUC
rnacentral:rRNA from 1 species